GAAUGGACAUGAACUACUAAUCAUUCUGUUAUGAUCAAGACCUUCAUGGUUGAAGGAUGGAUCGACUGUAACUCAUUAAGUUAUUCUCCACCCUUGAAGAGCUUUGCCUAAUGCCUCUGGGGAAGGAGCACACCAUCUCCCAAAUGGAUGCGGUACCCGUAUUGCCCUGUCCCAGAAGAACGAAGAGUUCAACUGAGUUUUUACAGAAUGCCAGUUAGGAUGAGCCCAGACUACUCACCUUUCAGGCAGCAUCACAGACAACAAGAAACCUUGGCCGUCGGGCUUGGACUAUAGCCAUCUCCCUCACAAGGAUUUGAUGUUGGCUCAAACCACUGACCUUUCUACUGCAGACUGAACAGGAAGGACAACAAGGUGUGCCUUUGGGGACGUCACCAGGCCUCUCCAGGUCCCAUGCCCGUCAUCUGUAAAAGGGAAGUCAAAUUUCAUUCAUUGAUUCUGCCAGCAUCUUGAAAGUGUGAAGAGCUGUGCCCUGACCGGAGUUGUUUGCACGGAGCCCGUGGAGGUGUGGUUGGCGGAGCACAGGACUUCCCGUGGGUGAUUCCGAUCGGUGUAUCCCUUCCUUCGCUGGAAAAACAGACACAUUUAUUGCAAAACACUGAACAGAGCAAGAGGAAAAACAGGACUCCCCCUAGUCUCAUCACUCAAAGAUGACCACUGCCAGCGUUUUGAAGACCAGCUUCUGGUCUUUUGGUUUCACCUGUAAAUUGCAAAAGUGAGUGUGUGUGUGUGUUUGUGUAUGUAUACAUAUAUACCCACAUUUUUAAUUGGGUUCAUCAUAGCCAUCCUAAUUUUUCACCUAAGUAGACAUCCUAAAUAUUUCCCAUGCCAUUAAGUAAUUUCUUAUCUUAUGAUUUUUUUCCUACCUAGUAUCCUAGCAAAUGACUAUAUCAUAAUUGAUUUAAUUGACUCACUCUUGUCAGAUAUUUACAUGAUUUUUAAAAGUUGGAUGAUAAAAGUUGGAGUGAGCAGCUUUGUUUUUUCAUCUUCACAUAUGUUCACAUUUGUGCUCAUAAGAGUGGACUGGCCGUGUCAAAAGGUGUGAGCAUUUUAUGGCCAAAUUGUCCCCCUGGAACGUUAUACCAAUUUACAUUCUCAGAAUCGGUUUAACAAGUGACUUUCUCUGGGAAUUAUCAAGGUUUUAAACAUUCAUCAAUUUGUCAAAUUUCAUUCUUCUCAUUUUCAGUUCUUUUAUUAUCUGUGAUUAGAGCAUUUGCCCUGUAUCUUUAUUGGUUCUCGGUAGCUGAAUUGCCAGUUCAGUUUCUUUGCUUUAUUCAGCUUUCAUUAAGUUUUAUUUUUGUCAAAGUCACGCAUAUGCUUCAUCUUAAGAGUUGAAUAGCUUUACAAGAUUAUGUAGAAGCAUCUUUCUCCACUCCAAUUCCAUACCCUACUCCACCUGAGCUACAGCGUUUUACUCUUUUAAAUGGUUCUUUUGACAUUUACAACAAGUUUUCUAAGUAACAUUCUGAUUUUUCUAGUUCUCGAAAGAAAAUUUUUUUUUUUUGACUUAGGCAUUAUCUUGACUUUUCAACCACAGAAAAUGAAGAUUUAAAACUUCCACCUUUGGCCUCAACACACACAAGAAUACCUGUCUGUCCCCUUCUUUUAAUAUAUUUAGCUCAGUUUGGUUUGAUCAGUAUCCAGUCUUUAUAUAUUACAACAGGGUAAAUACUGGAGAGCACAACAGCACUGUGAUUGUUUAUUUUCUUUUGCAACUUUUGUUUUCUCUGGAGUCGAUAAUUGUUUUCGUUUUGUCUUUCUUUUUUCCUUCUCUCUUUGGUUGGUUAGUAAUGAACGUAUCCCAAAUUCAUCUCCAGCCUUUCAUGACAUCCAAACAGUUAGUGUUUUUCAUUUUUAUUUAAUGUGUUUUAUCGUUUUGAAGACAUCUCUUCCUGGAGCCUCCUUCCCUCUUUUGUUCAGGAUUGGUUCAUCUUUGGGCUUUCUGCCCUUAUAGUGGAAUCACUUCCUCAUUUCUUCCUGGGGAUUCUCCUUGGUCGGAUCCCUAGUUCUGUAAAUCCUGUGUUAUUCUCAUUUUUUGUUUACUCCCUUGUUUAGCUAGAGUGCAUCCUCUAGCAGUUUCCUGGUAAAGGGUCCAUAGGAGGUAAAUUUUUGGAGAUCUUUCACAUAAGAAAAGGGUAAUGUCUAGUCCACACUGAUGUUGAUAGUUUAGCUUGGUACAGAAUUCUAGUUGGUGCCUUUUUUCCCCUUUAGAUUUGAAAAGCAUAAACAGUUGUCUUCUAACUUCCAGUGAUAUUGAUUGAUCAGAAGUCUGAAGACUUCUGAUUCCCAUCCCUUGUAUGUGAUCUUCUGUUACCCUCCGUUUCUGGAACUUCUCGUCUUUUCUCAUUGUGUUUUGAAUUUCAUGUGUAUGUAUUUUGCUGUGGUCUACAUUGAUCCUUUUUGCCAGACCCUUUUGAUCUGAAAGCAUAUGUCUUUCAGUUGUAGACAUUUCUGGUUCAAUUCCUUGGACAAUGGCCUCCCAUCCGUUUUCUCUUGAACUUAGUAUGUUGGAUCUCUUUGACAGGUUCUCUGCUUUUCAUGUAUUUUUCCUCUGAUUUUCGUAUCUUAAUCUCUUUGUUCUCUUACUGAGCAAUUACUCUGUCUUCAUCUUUUAAUCUAUUUUCAUUUCUGCAAUCUCUGAUUUUCAAGAAUCUUUUGUUACACUCCAAAUAUUAUUUUAUUGAAUUUUGU